rnacentral:rRNA from 1 species
AGUGAACGCUGGCGGUAGGCCUAACACAUGCAAGUCGAACGGCAGCACAGAGGAGCUUGCUCCUUGGGUGGCGAGUGGCGGACGGGUGAGGAAUACAUCGGAAUCUACUCUGUCGUGGGGGAUAACGUAGGGAAACUUACGCUAAUACCGCAUACGACCUACGGGUGAAAGCAGGGGAUCUUCGGACCUUGCGCGAUUGAAUGAGCCGAUGUCGGAUUAGCUAGUUGGCGGGGUAAAGGCCCACCAAGGCGACGAUCCGUAGCUGGUCUGAGGGGGUGAUCAGCCACACUGGAAGUGAGACGGGGCCCAGACUCCUACGGGAGGCAGCAGUGGGGAAUAUUGGACAAUGGGCGAGCGCCUGAUCCAGCCAUACCGCGUGAGUGAAGAAGGCGUUCGGGUUGUAAAGCCCUUUUGUUGGGAAAGAAAUCCAUCUGGUUAAUACCCGGGUGGGAUGACGGUACCCAAAGAAUAAGCACCGGCUAACUUCGUGCCAGCCGCCGCCGUAA